rnacentral:tRNA from 1 species
GAAAAUAAAGCUAAUUAGAAAAGCAUUUCAUUUACGGUGAAAGGGGUUAUUGUGCAAAUCAAUUUAUUUUUA